ACAAGCGGUGGAGUAUGUGGUUUAAUUCGAUGCAACGCGAAGAACCUUACCUGGUCUUGACAUCCCGGGGACCCUUAGGAAACUAGGGGGUGCUUCCAUCUGGAAGAAUCUGGAGACAGGUGCUGCAUGGCUGUCGUCAGCUCGUGUCGUGAGAUGUUGGGUUAAGUCCCGCAACGAGCGCAACCCUUGCCUUUAGUUGCCAGCAGUUCGGCUGGGCACUCUAAAGGGACUGCCGGUGUUAAACCGGAGGAAGGUGGGGAUGACGUCAAGUCCUCAUGGCCUUUAUGACCAGGGCUACACACGUACUACAAUGGCCGAUACAAAGGGCAGCGACACUGCGAGGUGAAGCCAAUCCCGUAAAAUCGGUCUCAGUCCGGAUUGGAGUCUGCAACUCGACUCCAUGAAGUUGGAAUCGCUAGUAAUCGUGGAUCAGCAUGCCACGGUGAAUACGUUCCCGGGCCUU
rnacentral:rRNA from 1 species